rnacentral:lncRNA from 1 species
UUUUUGUUAACUUUUAUUUUCGUUCUGAAAGAAUAUGUAAUUAUUUGUAGAGGCAUUUUUAUGAUGGCUGCUUUAAAAUCCUUGUCUGGUAAUUCCAACAUCUGGUUCAUUUUGGUGGCAUCAUCAGUUAACUAUCUUUUCUCAUUCCAGUUGCAAUGUUCUUGAUUCUUGGUACAACAAGGAAUUUUAGAUUGGAUCCUGGAUAUUUUGUCUGUUAGGAGACUCUGGGUCUUAAUCUUUCAUUUUAGCAAGUAAUCACUCUAUUUACACUUAGCAUGCAGACUCUGGCCUACUUUUUGGUAGGCCAAAAAGGGGCAGUUUAAUUUUCAGAGCCUUUCGGUGUGUUUGGCUUAUCUGGUCCUGCUGGGAUUCCAUAUGGUCCUCAAUGGUGCUGGUUUAGGGGGAAGAAGUUUCCCCAUGUAGGUCACUGGCACCUAUAGAUUGGGGUAAGAAGCCUCCUGUCCAUAGUGAUGAAAAAGCUUCCUGGAUCAGGCCUUUGGUGGUAGGAUCCGCUUUGGUAGUGCCCUCUGGCUGUCCAGGUUCUCAGCAAGGAAGAGGAGGCUCAGGCCUUGCAGAAAAGUAACAGUGCUUCCCCUGGACACUUGUCAGUGGGGACGCCUAUAUAUUGCCCUUGCUGGUGGUAUGAUUCAUCUGGUGUCGGUCAUCAGGACUCCAGUUCCAUCUGGGAUAGGAUGGACUCCUGUAUUUUUGAGGUUGGGAGUCAGGAAACAACCAAGUUUGGGUCACCUCCUAUUGAGUGGGAGGUUGUAAGACACUCUGCAACCAUGUUUCCCUUCCAGUCUUGGGAUUACUUAGCUGGCUUGUUUUCUUCUUCCUACCCAUCUCUUUCUGAUGCCUUUUGCAUUAUUUUAGAAUCCUAGUUAUCCAGAAUUGAUAAUUGUACUUAGGAAGGAGCAAAGAGAAAUGAGCACGCCCUCUUGUCCAGACAAGAAGUCAGAAUGCAAUAUUUUAAAAAAUUUCUACCUGCACAACUUUCUCAAAAGAUCAAGCCCUAUCCUAGAAUUGCUUUUUAAAUCAUGUGUUCCAAACUUGAGGAAAUUUGGCUAUUCCUCUGAGUACGGAGGAAGUAGAAGUAACAUAAACAGUUCUCAAGAGUGACUGACUUAAAGGUGCUGUUUAAAUUCUAUAGUGUGAUGGUCUUUUAGACAGCUUCAGUAUCUAUCC